UUCUCUGCUAAAUAGCCCAUUGAGCCUGCUUGCCAGCGUCUCCCCUUCAUGCUCACAGGCAACUAUUUUGGUGGUUUUUUUUGCACUUACGUACCAGACCUCACAAGGUACAUCAAGAUAGAAAAGAUAUUCCUUAAUUAGGUUACUAUUUUAUUUAUGUUGCUUUCACCCCCUGGUCAUGUCUAACAGAGGUUCUAUUUACAAUCUUGCCAAAUACCGCAGAAUCAAUCAAGGGGACCUACAUUUACUUUUCCAAAAGAUGCUAUUUGAACGAGAUUUACAUUUGAAAGUUUGUGUUUGCAUUUCCUUGCAGGCUUCCUCCCUGACUCCUUCUCUCCAGACGACCCUCCACAAGAAUAUCAGCUUACACAAGCUUCCCUGAGGUUUGAGGAUGUUACUUUCUCUGCCCCCUCUGCACAGAUUAAUAGUCUUAAAAAAAAAAAAAAAAGAGAGAGAGAGAGAGAGAAGCAGUGAGUCAGGGAAAAUGACUGAACCAAAAGUCAGACAACUCAUUAUCGCAAAACUACAGCCAUGUGUCCCAAAGCUGAUGAUGAUCUAGCAUGAAGGAGAGCCAGUGCUUAUAAAGGCCCUACUAAGUGUCAGGUGCUUUGAAACCCUUCCUGUUUCUUACCUGUCAGCACAAAACAACCUCAUAAGGAUCUAGGACAGUCUGUUCUGCUAUCAAGGAUAUUCCUGCAGCAGGAAUUUGCUCCCAUCCUAUAAGUAAAUAGGGAAUAGUGUCUGCAUCAUGCAGAAGAAGGGUCUGGUUCAUAUGAGAUUUUUUUUCCCCCUCUGUAUAUUAAAUCUCACACCACUAAGCAGAUCAGAACAAGCUCGCAAAGAAAACAGACCUGCAUCAUAGAUCUCCGCUCUCCUCGCUGUUCUUUGUCUUGGCUCGAUUUCUCUACCCUCCUUUCUUGAAAGUGCUUAUUUUGUGGUUCCUCCAGUCUGGAUAUGCUCUGCCCUCAACCCUCCUCUCUACACCCCCUUGUCCAUCAGGAACCUUUACCUUCUAGUACAGUGACCUGGCCAUGGCAGAGGGACUGUGUUGCGUGGUUUGUGAGCACCACAUCGAAUCACUCACCAUUCUCCCCCAUUGGAUGGUGCAUGUUGGAAGGGAGUACCAUCACCUGUUUCCAUGUAGUGUUAUUUUUAACAAGUGACUUGGACACAUGUCCAUGCAAAAAUUACUGUUCUCAUCACAAUAAACUCAUCUAGAAAAAACAAAUGAUUAGCUGCCAGCAUAACAUGGAUGGCAGAGGGGUCAGAGUGAGGAAUGGGUGCCAUUGAUGGAGACACCAGCAUAUCCUGGCACCCUAUUCCCCAUGAAGAGGGACACAGCAAAUCUUUCUUGUUCCAGUGACCCAAGGAGGCAGGGGAAAUCCACCUGAAAUGCAGCACUGGCACCAAGACAAAUGCCCCAAAUCAAAGGAAGCAAUGAAGAUACUUUGCCCCCUUCCCUAAAUAUACAGCAGUUCUCCUCUGAGGACUGAUUCUCAUCUG
rnacentral:lncRNA from 12 species